rnacentral:lncRNA from 1 species
AGUGGCAUAAGCUGUGUGGGUGAUUAGGUGGAUGCCCCUCAGUCUCUCGAGGCUGUCUUGUGGCCCUACUUAGUGAGAGCAGGUUGGUAGAUGCCAGUAACUCAUUUUAUGGUUUAAAAUGCAAGUUUACAGUCAUCUCUGUGCCCCUUCAAAGAAAUGCUUAGGGAUACAGAGAAGGGUGGAGACGAGCAAGCAGUUUGGUGUUUGGAGAGUCCAUGGUACAUGGAAAAGUAUCGUACGCCUAGGAAGCUGAACCAGAAAUUCUGUGGAGUAGUUGAUAGAAAGUAUGUCUGGACAGGAAACACUUUGUUGUCAGGAAUAAACUGUUACUAACCCUGUUUAGCACUGGUUCCAUUGGCAUUCUGAUUGCU